AACGAACGCUGGCGGCAUGCCUAACACAUGCAAGUCGAACGAGCCCUUCGGGUCUAGUGGCGCACGGGUGCGUAACGCGUGGGAACCUUCCCUUAGGUUCGGAAUAACUCCCCGAAAGGGGUGCUAAUACCGGAUCAUGUCUUCGGACCAAAGAUUUAUCGCCUUUGGAUGGUCCCGCGUUGGAUUAGCUAGUUGGUAGGGUAAAAGCCUACCAAGGCGACGAUCCAUAGCUGGUCUGAGAGGAUGAUCAGCCACACUGGGACUGAGACACGGCCCAGACUCCUACGGGAGGCAGCAGUGGGGAAUAUUGGACAAUGGGCGAAAGCCUGAUCCAGCAAUGCCGCGUGAAUGAUGAAGGCCUUAGGGUUGUAAAGCUCUUUUACCCGGGAUGAUAAUGACAGUACCGGGAGAAUAAGCUCCGGCUAACUCCGUG
rnacentral:rRNA from 1 species